AAGUAGAAUUUGUCAAGCGAAAUAUAGGCCCGAGGGGGUGUGAAGGGUAAAAAUUUGCUCGAAUCGUGAGAUGGAAGAAACUUCGCCGUAGGAAAGAGCAGGACGACGAUAAAAAUCUAUGAUGGUGUUGGUGAACGUCACCCAUCCUAUGGCGGCAUUUUCAAAACAAAAACAAAUCGUAUGCCUAACGAAUAUACGCUAAACGUAUAUUCAUAUUUCCUGCGUGUUUUGAGUGUUUUGUGGCUCCCAUUUUGGUGAAAAAGUGUUUAAUUAUGUAUAAUAAAAACGUUUAAAGAAAAGAAGAGUGUUAUUCUAACAUGCUGAACUAAUUUCAGACAGUUAAAAAUGGACGUAGAAACAGAUAAGCCAGCAGGAGUUCAGAAGGACUAGCAAAUUGGAUAGCCGUACGCUGCAGAUGCAGGUGCUUAAAUCGGAAGUACAGGACAGCAUUCUAGAGUGUGAAUAGGAGUGUUUUUAGAAGAACGACGAUUGGAAUCAAUCCGGAACGAAAGAAGAGGGUAAAUAUACUGGGGCUGAUAGUGCAAAUAGGCUAAGGACAUGGGAUUAUCUCUUAAAACAUUUAUCUCAACUGCAAUUGAAAGAUAUAUUGCUUUUAACUCUAAUAGUAAUACUAUUUGUUUUCUUUGUUUAGGAAUGUAAAACCCCUUUUCAAUGUGCCGCUACGAGUUGAUUAAUGUUGUAGGAUGACCGUUGAAGGCUUGCAAAGUGGUCUUGGAUGUUGUUUUCGGUAAGUAUUGUAGCAGUGCAAGAUAAUCAUGUGCCUACUUUAUCGUACUGACUUUUCUUCUUGGCUCGUUUUAGGUUUUAGCUGGCGAUGCUCUUAUACGCAUCGUGUCGAAUGGAUAGCUGCUAAGCAACGUCCUUGGAGGACAUGGCCCCAACUUCUUUCAUACGUGUUCUAACCGUUGCACGUUAGCGCCCAGUAAUGCAAGCGUAUCUGUCGUCAAUUGAAAGUAAAAUAGCGAGCGCUUAGAUUACCUUUGCCAGGAUAAUCCUAGAGUCGUGAUCAGAUAAGAUGUAGGUAAAGGAUGGUGUAAAACGUAAAAUGUCCUUAAUUAGUAAGAUUUUUUGUAAAAGGGAUAGAUAGAACAGCACAAUCUUUAAACAGCAGAAUCUUUACGCAACUUCUAUGUACGCAUUUAGGUGUAAGAAACAAACGAAUCAUAUUUACAUAAAACGAUCUUUGUAUGUAGAACUAACCUCGUUAGGAACGUUAGGGAGAACUGGAAAUGGCAUGCCGAAGUUUCGCCAGGUUGAAAAAAAAACAUGCGCGUAUGUUAAAAAAGUUAAAAUAAAGUUUAUUACGUAUAGGGCAUAGUAAGGAGUUGUCUUUUCCUACAAAAAAUGUAUAGCUUUAAAAAGAAGAUGCGUUACGUAUUGUACCGAAGGUAUCGUUAAAAGUGAUAAGAAAGUGGAUACAGAUUCAAAUAAAAUACAAAAUCAAAUCAAAUGUACAUAAUCCUUUUAUCAUUCUAAUAUUCAAAAAAUAAAUAAAGCUACCACAAACAUGAACAAUAAAAAACAACGUUGGCGUUCCUCCGUGUAGAAAGCACCAAACACAUUUGUUUUGACGCCAGCCGCAGAUCAGUAAAAUAGAUCAUCUGAAUAGCAGCGAUCCCGUUACUACCAUGUACCAUGUCCAAAGCCUCGGUGAGUAAAGAAAAUUUCUCUAAUUAAAAAA